GCGAAGAGAAAAUCCGUGAUUUUCGCUUAAAUGGGGGAUUUGAGAAAACGCGUGAUUUUCGUUAAAUGUUGGAUUCUCGAAGAGAAAACGCGUGAUUUUCGCUUAAAUGGGGGAUUUCCGAAGAGAAAACGCGUGAUUUUCAAGUUAAAUGGGGGAUUUCCGAAGAGAAAACGCGUGAUUUUCGCUUAAAUGGGGAUUUUUGCAAAUUGAAAAUUCGUGAUCUUCACUUAAGUGGGGGAUUCUCAAAGAGAAAACGCUUGAUUUUCACUGAAAUUGACGAUUCUCGAAGAGAAAACGCGAGAUUUUCACUUAAAUGGGGGUUUUGCAAAGGGAAAAUGUGUGAUUUUCGCUUAAAUGUGGGAUUUCCGAAGAGAAAACGCAUGAUUUUCUGGUUAAAUGGGGGAUUCUCGAAGAGAAAAUGCUUGGUUUUCUGGUUAAAUGGGGGAUUUGCGAAGAGAAAAUGCGUGAUUUUCGCUUAAAUGGGGGAUUUGAGAAAACACAUGAUUUUCGGGUUAAAUGGGGGAUUCUCGAAGAGAAAAUGCUUGGUUUUCUGGUUAAAUGGGGGAUUUGCGAAGAGAAAACACGUGAUUUUCGCUUAAAUGGGGGAUUUCCGAAGAGAAAACGCAUGAUUUUCUGGUUAAAUGUUGGAUUCUCGAAGAGAAAACGCGUGAUUUUCGCUUAAAUGGGGGAUUUGAGAAAACGCGUGAUUUUCGGUUAAAUGUUGGAUUCUCGAAGAGAAAACGCGUGAUUUUCGCUUAAAUGGGGGUUUUGCGAAGGGAAAACGUGUGAUUUUCUGGUUAAAUGGAGGAUUUCCGAAGAGAAAACGUGUGAUUUUCGCAUAAAUGGGG
ensembl:lncRNA